AGACCGUCAGACGGUUACCGCGGCUGCUGGCACGGAGUUAGCCGGUGCUUCUUCUGUGAGUGAUGUCCUUCCUGCCGGCUAUUAACCCGCAGGCCUUCUUCCUCACUGAAAGUGCUUUACAACCCGAAGGCCUUCUUCACACACGCGGCAUGGCUGGAUCAGGGUUGCCCCCAUUGUCCAAUAUUCCCCACUGCUGCCUCCCGUAGGAGUCUGGGCCGUGUCUCAGUCCCAGUGUGGCUGAUCAUCCUCUCAGACCAGCUACGGAUCGUCGCCUUGGUGAGCCGUUACCUCACCAACCAGCUAAUCCGACAUAGGCUCAUCCGAUAGCGCGAGGCCCGAAGGUCCCCCGCUUUCCCCCGUAGGGCGUAUGCGGUAUUAGCCUGGGUUUCCCCAGGUUAUCCCCCACUACCGGGCAGAUUCCUAUGCAUUACUCACCCGUCCGCCGCUCGCCACCAGGGAGCAAGCUCCCCGUGCUGCCGCUCGACUUGCAUGUGUUAGGCCUGCCGCCAGCGUUCAAU
rnacentral:rRNA from 1 species